rnacentral:tRNA from 1 species
GCAGUGGUAGUUCGGUGGUAGAAUUCUCACCUUUCAUGUGGGAGACAUGGGUUCAAUUCCCGGCCAAUGCA